GGAGGGGGGGGUCAAUCCAAAAUCGACCCCAAACGAAGGACACAAAACCCUUCUGUUAAAUGACACAGGAGAGCCCUCGGCUAACGGGAAAUUAAUAACAGCGACUAAUCCUUUUAAACAUAUUAUGACAUUAAGGUUUGUACUUGAAAUGCUCUUUUUUUACUUGUUCUGGAAGCUAAAAUGACUAGCCCAGCUCCUUGACUGGUGUUGCCUGAUGUUGGUUCCCUCGCGGUCGUCUUUGUCUCUGCCCGGUGCCACUGUGUCCUUCACUGUUUCCUCAGAUGAGAAUUUCUUUUGGGAGACAGAUGCACUAAUCUCUAUGAGUAAUUAGACUAAAGCUUCCCCGCUUGGCGCAGGCACCACUUAUAACACACACACAUGCACACAAACACACACACACACAUACUCACACACACACACACACACACAUACACACACACACACACACACAUAUAUUGAUCACACUCCCCACACACACUUUUGCCCUUGUAUCUCUCCUCAGAAUGUCAUUACCUCCCUGCAGUCACGCAUGCAUACACACACACACACACACACACACACACACACACACACACACACACACACACACACACACACACACACACACACACACACACACACUUCCCACCAAUCUUCCUGCUCCUUCUGUUUCGCUCUCUGUAUCUGUCUAUUUUACGUUGAGUUGAUUAAUAAUGAUCCAUGGCCCGGUGCUCCAUGCUGCCAUGCAGGAGAUCUCCCAGAGUUUGUGUGAAGACGGCGGGUUUAACAUGUGUGCAGCCUCACCAGCCCAAAACCGUCCUACUCGAGUCGGGGCCAGGUGAGGCCCAGGUAUCACCCACACGCACUCCACAGUGAGCAGCACAGCUGCAUGCACGCGUCUGCGUCCUCGGCGCGGCCAGCCAAAUGGUACCAGAGCCAGGGAACGGUCGGCAACACGCGCCUAGGAUCGGGUCAGCCACGCAGAAGCACGCCGAGACCUUCAGGCAUUAAACUCGCAUCCCACAUACUCCGCAGGGGGGUUCUGGCCCCGCCCCCAGCUGCCCGCAACUUACAGUACAACAAAUUGAUUGGCACGACCUUAGCAAUGUACUAACCGCCCACACGGCUCGACGUCGGCGCGGAGCAUCAGCCAGACGUUGAGUUGUGCAGCGGGCUCUGAGCUCUCUGAGCGGCCUCACUCAGGGCCUCAUCACAUGCUGCAGGGGCUGGGGGGUUCAGAUGGACCGUCUUCAGGUGAGACGUUGACCCAGGUACUGAUGCCCUGCCGUCACUAAAGCCCCCAUGACACUCGACGCAAGAGUAGGGUGCUAUUAAGGGUGUCCCGGACAAAGCACCCAACAUGGCGCCCAAACCAGACCCAACUUAUUUUACACUCAAAGACGCUUUACAGAGUGAACAUAAAAUAAACAAAUUGAACAAGAUCGUAUAUAAGUAAAAAGAUCAAAUGCAAAAAUAAAAAAAUAAAAGAUGGAAUGGGAUCAAAUAUAAUGGGUAGUUAAAAACCAAAAUUGGCUGUUAAAACUAGGAAUAGUUAAAAGGUGGAAGGGAAGGAGUUUAUGUGGGGAACGCAAUCUUAAAAGGUGGGAUUUGAGAGCCUGUUUAAAUGGACGGAGUUGUGUGUUAGCCUGUCGGACGUGGCUGGGGACGGAGUUCCAGAGGGAGAGUGCGGCACCCGAGAAGGCCCUGUCUCCCUGGGUCCGAAGCUUGGUCCUGGGGGUUGGAGUGUGGUUGUGUCCAUAGACCUGAGGCAGCGGGUAGAACUGUGGUGGAGGAGGAGGUCAGAGAGGAAGGGGAGGGACCAGGUUAUAUAUAGACGGUGAGUUGUAUUCUGGAAUGAAUCCUACAUUUAACUGGGAGCCAGGGGAGUGUGUGAAGGACAGGGGUGAUGUGAUCUCGGCGACACUCGCUGUGUAAAAGGCUUUGAGAUGCUGCAUGCAUAAUGAAUAAUUCCUACUUGUUCUCCAGAGCCGCUGCUCCACUGCGUGUGUCUCCCAGUGCUCAGCUCUCUACCGCCCC